UGCUACUGAAUACAAGUUCUAUCACUUUCUAAAUAGCUAUAAAGAAUAAAGAUCUUCUGAACCCUAACUACAUCGUAUUCUUUAAUUGUGUUCUCAGCGGAAUCGUUUAUGCAGGUGAAAGGAUGAUGUGGUUAUGCGUCAGCCCUGGAAUGAUGGGAUGGAUCAUGCUUUAAUACCUCAUUCUGCUCAAUUUUGAGGAAAGAGGCUUGAAAACGAACCACUAAUAACUGAACAAGACACAACGAAGGGGUAAUCGAGGAAAAUUGUGUAAACUAUAGAGGGGCAACACCGACGGAUCGCAUUGUGGUAUCAUGCCUGAGACGACUGUCAAUGCAGGACGCAACAGGCAUAAAGGAGGAAAUUUCGAAGUGACUAAGUUGCAUAUCAAUUGCUAACAUACGAAACGCACCGCAUUGAGUGUAUAUAUCGACCUAGCCCGUUGACCCUCUUAGAGAUAAGCAAAGUUAAAUCACACACAAAAAAAAG
rnacentral:sRNA from 1 species